CCUGCCCAGAAGCGGGGGAUAACACCUGGAAACAGAUGCUAAUACCGCAUAACAACUUGGACCGCAUGGUCCGAGCUUGAAAGAUGGCUUCGGCUAUCACUUUUGGAUGGUCCCGCGGCGUAUUAGCUAGAUGGUGGGGUAACGGCUCACCAUGGCAAUGAUACGUAGCCGACCUGAGAGGGUAAUCGGCCACAUUGGGACUGAGACACGGCCCAAACUCCUACGGGAGGCAGCAGUAGGGAAUCUUCCACAAUGGACGAAAGUCUGAUGGAGCAACGCCGCGUGAGUGAAGAAGGGUUUCGGCUUGUAAAACUCUGUUGUUAAAGAAGAACAUAUCUGAGAGUAACUGUUCAGGUAUUGACGGUAUUUAACCAGAAAGCCACGGCUAACUACGUGCCAGCAGCCGCGGUAAUACGUAGGUGGCAAGCGUUGUCCGGAUUUAUUGGGCGUAAAGCGAGCGCAGGCGGUUUUUUAAGUCUGAUGUGAAAGCCUUCGGCUCAACCGAAGAAGUGCAUCGGAAACUGGGAAACUUGAGUGCAGAAGAGGACAGUGGAACUCCAUGUGUAGCGGUGAAAUGCGUAGAUAUAUGGAAGAACACCAGUGGGCGAAAGGCGGCUGUCUGGUCUGUAACUGACGCUGAGGCUCGAAAGUAUGGGUAGCAAA
rnacentral:rRNA from 1 species